rnacentral:rRNA from 1 species
GGUUUGACGGUACCUAUAAAGGAAGCACCGGCUAACUCCGUGCCAGCAGCCGCGGUAAUACGGGGGGUGCAAGCGUUGUUCGGAAUUAUUGGGCGUAARGCGCGUGUAGGCGGUCUGAUUAGUCUGAUGUGAAAGCCCUGGGCUCAACCCAGGAAGUGCAUUGGAUACUGUCAGACUUGAAUACGGGAGAGGGUAGUGGAAUUCCUAGUGUAGGRGUGAAAUCCGUAGAUAUUAGGAGGAACACCGGUGGYGAAGGCGGCUACCUGGACCGAUAUUGACGCUGAGACGCGAAAGCGUGGGUAGCAAACAGGAUUAGAUACCCUGGUAGUCCACGCCGUAAACGAUGAGAACUAGGUGUCGCGGGUA